UACAGAGGGUGCGAGCGUUAAUCGGAAUUAUUGGGCGUAAAGAGCUCGUAGGCGGCCUGUUGCGUCCGCUGUGAAAGCCCGGGGCUUAACCCCGGGUCGGCAGUGGAUACGGGCAGGCUAGAGGUAGGUAGGGGAGAAUGGAAUUCCCGGUGUAGCGGUGAAAUGCGCAGAUAUCGGGAGGAACACCGGUGGCGAAGGCGGUUCUCUGGGCCGAUACUGACGCUGAGGAGCGAAAGCGUGGGGAGCGAACAGG
rnacentral:rRNA from 1 species